rnacentral:rRNA from 1 species
UACGUAGGGUGCGAGCGUUAAUCGGAAUUACUGGGCGUAAAGCGUGCGCAGGCGGUUUUGUAAGUCUGUCGUGAAAUCCCCCGGGCUCAACCUGGGAAUUGCGAUGGAGACUGCAAGGCUAGAAUCUGGCAGAGGGGGGUAGAAUUCCACGUGUAGCAGUGAAAUGCGUAGAGAUAGUGGAGGAACACCGAUGGCGAAGGCAGCCCCCUGGGUCAAGAUUGACGCUCAGCACGAAAG